UCCCAUGUGGUCUAGUGGCUAGGAUACCUGGCUUUCACCCAGGAGGCCGGGUUCGAUUCCCGGCAUGGGAA
rnacentral:tRNA from 1 species